UCGUUUUGUGUAUAAAUAUUUUGAUGCUUGUCUAUGCUCUAUUUUUUUGUUUCAAUUAAUUGUGUUCUGUAUGAGCUUAUAUUUGAUAUGUAAAUUUUUAUUCCAUAUAAAUUCUCUUGGUUGAAUGAUUAAGAUACAAACAUACAUACAUAAUUAGCUAGCUACUCUGCUCCCCUAGCUUCCAUAUUAAACAACUUCCAUAUCAAUUAUGAGAGAUUUCUUGUAAGGGAAAACUUGAAAAUGAGGAAAUAAGUUUCUUCUUUCUAAAAUAAACAUAGCCUUAGAUAAUAAUAUUUCAUGAUUAUUUCAAAAUAAGGAAAUUAGCCUCAUUCAAUACAAGUUAUUGAGUACUUGUCAAUAAAAUAACAAGGCAGGAAAGCAGGGGCAAAAGAAUGGUGGGGAUUAUUUGUACUAAAUAAGGAAUGGCUGAUACAUAGAGCACCUGAGGCAAAAUCUCAAUUAGGUAAUAAUGACUUAUAUGGCUAUGGAAUCUAAUUUUUUUUUAAAUCGAUGUUGCUACUUUCUUAUAUUCGGUUUGCUUUCUUUGGUGACAAAAAGAGGGAUUUGAGUCCACUUGAGAACAAAAGUGAUAAGCCUUGCAGAAGUUAUAUAAGGUUCAGUUCUUUGUUGCCAUCUUGUGGGGUCUGCUCAUGAUUGUAAUUGUCUAUUUCGUUUUUAUCUAUACCAUAUUUGUGCACUCCAACCUCAGUGCUCGUGUGAUGUACUUGGAUCGUUUAUGUAAGCUUUUGGUGUUGCAGAAUGAUCUCAAAAACUGUAGUGAAAUUCAACUUGUGGUGUGAUUAUCCUUUUCCUAAAGUCAGCAUAAUUUGAUGAGGAAGAGAAGCUUGAAUCUUAUGGAAUAGAUGACGUAUGCAG